rnacentral:rRNA from 1 species
UCGAGAAUUUUUCACAAUGGGCGAAAGCCUGAUGGAGCGACGCCGCGUGGGGGAUGAAUGGCUUCGGUCCGUAAACCCCUGUCAUUUGCGAGCAAACCUUUGAGCCUAAUAAGUUCAAAGUUGAUAGUAGCGAAAGAGGAAGGGACGGCUAACUCUGUGCCAGCAGCCGCGGUAAUACAGAGGUCCCAAGCGUUGUUCGGAUUCACUGGGCGUAAAGGGUGCGUAGGUGGCGGAGGAAGUCUGAUGUGAA